rnacentral:rRNA from 1 species
UACGGAGGGGGCGAGCGUUAUUCGGAAUUAUUGGGCGUAAAGGGCGCGUAGACGGCUGUACAAGUCAAAGGUGAAAUCCCUCGGCUCAACUGAGGAACUGCCUUUGAAACUGUACGGCUUGAGGCCGGGAGGGGGUAGCGGAAUUCCCAGUGUAGCGGUGAAAUGCGUAGAUACUGGGAGGAACACCAGUGGCGAAGGCGGCUACCUGGACCGGUUCUGACGCUGAGGCGCGAAAGCGUGGGUAGCAAACAGG